GAUGAACGCUGGCGGCGUGCUUAACACAUGCAAGUCGAACGAGGUCCAACCUUCGGGUGAAGACCUAGUGGCGAACGGGUGAGUAAAGUAUCGGAACGUACCAUUGAGUGGGGGAUAACGUAGCGAAAGUUACGCUAAUACCGCAUAUACCCCGAGGGGGAAAGCAGGGGAUCGCAAGACCUUGUGCUCUUUGAGCGGCCGAUAUCAGAUUAGCUAGUUGGUGAGGUAAAGGCUGACCAAGGCGACGACCUGUAGCGGGUCUGAGAGGAUGAUCCGCCACACUGGAACUGAGACACGGUCCAGACUCCUACGGGAGGCGGCAGCGGGGAAUUUUGGACAAUGGGGGCAACCCUGAUCCAGCCAUGCCGCGUGAGUGAAGAAGGCCUUCGGGUUGUAAAGCUCUUUCGGCCGGGAGGAAAUCGCAUAGGUUAAUACCCUGUGUGGAUGACAGUACCGGAAUAAGAAGCACCGGCUAACUACGUGCCAGCAGCCGCCGUAACAC
rnacentral:rRNA from 1 species